rnacentral:rRNA from 1 species
UGGGGAAUAUUGCACAAUGGGGGAAACCCGUGAUGCAGCGACGCCGCGUGAGCGAAGAAGUAUUUCGGUAUGUAAAGCUCUAUCAGCAGGGAAGAUAAUGACGGUACCUGACUAAGAAGCCCGGCUAACUACGUGCC